rnacentral:rRNA from 1 species
GCAGCAGCCGCGGGAAUACGUAGGGUGCGAGCGUUAAUCGGAAUUACUGGGCGUAAAGCGUGCGCAGGCGGUUCGUUAAGACAGAUGUGAAAUCCCCGGGCUUAACCUGGGAACUGCAUUUGUGACUGGCGAGCUAGAGUAUGGCAGAGGGGGGUAGAAUUCCGCGUGUAGCAGUGAAAUGCGUAGAUAUGCGGAGGAACACCGAUGGCGAAGGCAGCCCCCUGGGCCAAUACUGACGCUCAUGCACGAAAGCGUGGGGAGCAAACAGGAUUAGAUACCCCCGUAGUCCCUGUCUCUUAUAC